ACCGCGGCGAGCUGCUGCUGCCAGGUGAGCUGGGCCUGCAGCGGAUGCGGGACAAGUCAGACUCCGAGGGCUCGCAGCUGGUCUUCUCUCCGGACAUCCGGCACGCCGUCAGCAAGACGUUGCCCUGCCGCAAGAAGUCAGAAUUCCUGGACCCCAAGACGCGGCAGCGGUACCGUGCGUGGGCGGCGUUCCAGGUGCUGGUGCAGCCGGGGACGUACAAGGUGUCGGCUGCGCGGGCGCCGGCCCAGGCGGAG